GCGCUCUAGCAAUUUAUAUAAGCUCCGCUUCUUCAGCUGUCCACCAAUCACAGGCCAGCAUACGAUUCAGAGGAUGACGUCGCCACCUAACGACCGGGAGCGUCAGCGAACAUAAAUAUUAGUCGAGGCUUGUGGCUAAGUUCACUAAUUAUUUUGACAGGUCCGUCGAGAUCAACCAGUUUAAAGUUUACAUUUAAUAUUUGUGGUUUAUUGAAGUUUGUUUAAGUGUUUUGGAUGGGGAAUGAGUAUGCCCUUCUUGAAGCGACCCCAGACUACAGAACCACUUGUAAAAGCCCAAAAAUGCGAGCCGCAUCACACUGUGUAUUCUGUCAGAAUCAGAAGAAUCAGAAUCAGAAUGAGCUUUAUUGCCAGGUAUGUUUACACAUACGAGGAAUUUGUUUUCGUGACAGAAGCUCCGCAGUACAACAGAAUGACAGCGACAGAACAUAAAACACAUAAUAAAAGAAUAAAAAAUACAAAUAUGUAGACAGUGAAUGACAAUAUACAAAUGACAAUUGUAGGCAGGUAUAUUACAAAGUGAAGUUAUGUAUGUACAUAUAUAUUGUGUGCAAAAUUUAAGUGUAUACUAAGUAUGUGUGUUAGAUAAAUAAAGUGUGUGUGUAUAUAAAUAUAAAGUGUAGUGUGUUCGCCAUUAUUGUCAGCUGUUCAUAAGAUGGAUUGCCUGAGGGAAGAAACUGGUCCUGUGUCUGGUCGUUCUAGUGCUCAGUGCUCUGUAGCGUCGACCAGAUGGCAACAGUUCAAAGAGAGAGUGUGCUGGAUGUGAGGGGUCCAGAGUGAUUUUGACAGCCCUUUUUCUCACUCUGGAUAAGUACAGUUCUUGAAUAGAUGGGAGAGUUGAACCGAUGAUUCGCUCAGCAGUCCGGACUACUCUCUGUAGUCUUCUGAGGUUAGAUUUAGAAGCUGAGCUGAACCAGACAGUUACUGAAGUGCAGAGGAUGGAUUCAAUGAUGGUCGAGUAGAACUGUUUCAGCAGCUCCUGUGGCAGGUUGGAGAUGGAGAUACAAUGGAGUACACAGGCGAGUGGAUGAAUAAUAAUAAACGUGGUAAUAUUUAAUGGAUUGAAUAUUUAAUGGCAUGUUUUAAACAUUACAGGCCUUGAGGAUCACAGUACAAAGCCUGGCAGUUUAAAUAGACAAACCUUAAUUUAAUUUACUUGUUAUUUUAGAUGCUGCAGAUUACAUUACACUAUUUAUUUCUAGGAAACGCUGCUCAUCAAAGCUUGAUUUAGAAGAAUGAUUUUCCCUCCAUUAACAAAAUGUUCCUGAAGGUAGCUCGAACUCUGAUGAAGAAAAGGGACACAGGUUUGGAAGAAAACAGGACUGAUCUAUGAUGAGGACUGGAGAAUAUCUAAUGGAAACCGCUUUGUGGGCACCUGGAGCGACGGACAGAAAAACGGACAUGGCAAGUUCUUCUACCUGGACAGAGGUAAGCUGUACGAAGGGCUUUUUGGUUGACGGCGUUGCUAAGUGUGGAACCAUGUCUGAUUUUGGGAGAGAAGCAGCAGUUAGACCAACAGUCUAUCCAAUUCCCAAGGUAAAUGAUUAACACUGAUGUUUGCUCAUUUGCAUGAUUUCCAUUUUAACAGUAAUGCAAGCUUUCAGUCAUAGGUUCAGACCAGUGUAACAGCUCAAAGAGUUUUGUUGAUUUGCAUGGUUUAUUACCUAAUGCAGAUUCAGAAACAUUGUGGAUUUCUCCAAAGGCAAACCUUUGGACGUAAAAGCAGAGCUGUAAUCGACAGAAACCACAAUUCCAAGUCAUACCAUUGCUAGGGAAUAUCUACCUUGACAAUAUCCCGAAGACAAAAAAGGCAGACUAGUGUGGUGAAAUGUGUUUUAUCAACCCCUCACUCACAAUAAAAACACUAGCACACAAUACAAAAAAGCUGGUGGCACAUUAUGCAUCUACUAGUAUUUAACAAAAUGCUCAUUUUGGCAAGAAUUAUAUAAAAGAGCACAAAAGGGUGUUUGGUUUAAGUUUGAUUUAAGACUUUAAUUAAAAUGUAUAAACUGUGAGUUUUUAAAUUCCAGCACAUGCUGUGCACUAAUAAAAAGAGCUUCUGAAUCAAACUUUACACACAACAUUGGAUAUUGUUUCACAUACUUUGGGGAAAAAAUAAAUAAUUGUAUUUCAAUUUGGCAAUACUGAACAUGUUAAUAAAUUGGCAUGUUGUUUUAGUCAUUUUUGUCAAUGCUGCUGAUGUGACUACAUGCUUAAACGGUCCUCUGCUUAAUAAACACUUUGUUUGAAAUGUGUUCGCUAGCAUAAUCGCACAAUCCUGCCAGCUCUUUAGCCGUGACGGCGCUAAGCACUUGUGUCCAACUUCAGAGUGAACAGAGGUUCCUUUAAUGGGAAGCCAUUUCAAAUACUACCAAAAAAGGUCAGACAAACAUGUUGAUAAAGUGCCUUAGUUUCUUCUAAGUUUCUCCUUAGUUUCAUUCAGGGGGUUCAUUUGGGGAAAAAAUUUGAGUUUGAAUGAGACUCUGAUUUUUGGUUGAUUCAGCUGUUCAAUAGCAAAGCUAUGAUUCAGAACUCAUCACAAUUAUUUGGUCAAACGGACAUAAAAGUGUCCCCUGCACUGUAAUAACUUCAAACAAGCCUCUGAUCAGUCUUUAAAAGAUUUUUUUUUGCAAUAUAUAAACUUAUGUCUGUAAGAACGUAGGUUGCCUU